GACGAACGCUGGCGGCGUGCUUAACACAUGCAAGUCGAACGGAAAGGCCCUGCUUGCAGGGUACUCGAGUGGCGAACGGGUGAGUAACACGUGGGUGAUCUGCCCUGCACUUCGGGAUAAGCCUGGGAAACUGGGUCUAAUACCGGAUAGGAGCCAUUUUUAGUGUGAUGGUUGGAAAGUUUUUUCGGUGUAGGAUGAGCUCGCGGCCUAUCAGCUUGUUGGUGGGGUAAUGGCCUACCAAGGCGGCGACGGGUAGCCGGCCUGAGAGGGUGGACGGCCACAUGGGGACUGAGAUACGGCCCAGACUCCGACGGGAGGCAGCAGUGGGGAAUAUUGCACAAUGGGCGCAAGCCUGAUGCAGCGACGCCGCGGGGGGAUGACGGCCUUCGGGUUGUAAACUCCUUUCGCUAGGGACGAAGCUUUUGUGACGGUACCUAGAGAAGAAGCACCGGCUAACUACGUG
rnacentral:rRNA from 1 species